UGGGGAAUUGUUCGCAAUGGGCGCAAGCCUGAACCAGCAACGCCGCGUGCAGGAUGACGGCCUUCGGGUUGUAAACUGCUUUUGUCGGGGACGAGAGAGGACGGUACCCGGCGAAUAAGUCACGGCUAACUACGUGCCAGCAGCCGCGGUAACACGUAGGUGGCGAGCGUUAUCCGGAUUUACUGGGCGUAAAGCGUGUGCAGACGGACUAGCAAGUGGUGUAUGAAAUCGCGGUGCUUAACACAGCGAGGUUAUGCCAGACUGCUGGACUAGAGUGCGAGAGAGGGAUGUGGAAUUCCGGGUGUAGCGGUGAAAUGCGUAGAUAUCCGGAGGAACACCGGUGGCGAAGGCGGCUUCCUGGACCGAUACUGACGCUGAGGCGCGAAAGCUAGGGGAGCAAACGGGAUUAGAUACCCACGUAGUCCCUGAGCGGGCUGGCAAGGCGCAU
rnacentral:rRNA from 1 species